UUCCACACUUAACUUGAUAAUUAAGUAGAUUAUAUUAAGAAAAUACAUCUCAAAUUUCUUCAACAAGAAUAACCACUCAAAUAUAUAUUUAUAUUCAUACACCUCAAACAGUACAGCUGUACAAGUGUAUUACAAAUCUUUGGAAAAAGAAAAUGGAGGGAGACUAAACUAUGCUAAUCUAUACAACAAUGCCAAACAAACUUAGACCAACCUAAAAAUAUCUCUGGGUCAACCAGAAUAGCAGGACACAUUUGAGACACACACUGACCACCACCCUCACGUGCACAAUAGAUUAAUAGUCAAUGGGUCAGCAAUAUAGUCUAUGUAUGGGCUUCAACCUUCAGCCAAUUAGAAGCUAGCACCUGUGAGAACAAUGGAGAAGGGGAUGGGCAGCCAUACCAGCCAAGGAAGAUGGUUUUCUGAUAUUAAAAGAAGAGACAGCAGAGCAAGCCAUUGCCAAGACUUCACACAUCUCCAUUUUUCCCCAAAUAGCCAAACCAGCAGCUUGUCUUCCUCCCACUGUCUUCAUCUUUCUAUCUGCAACCAACAAAGAUCCAAGAAAAAUAAGUAGAGAUGGUGAGCUGAGAAAUCAUAGUAGAUCGAAGGAGGAAGGCUAGAGCAAGAAGUUAGCCUACUGGACUGGGAUCUGGAAGUAGGAGCAGCACUAGUAGGAACAACAGAGAAGGCAAAAGAAGAAAGGUGAGUUCUUCUUCUUCUGUCAUUCCUUUAGCAGUCACACUCACAAAGAAGCCCAACCCAGAUGCACCCACAAUAUUCCUCACUAGUUCUUCACAAAUGCACACAAAAGCUAAAUCAUUCCAGUAGUAUCAUCUAUCACAGAUCUUAAAAUCAACAGUACAAGAAAUCAUGUAUAAUGCCUUAAUCAAGUAAAAUAAAAUGGAGCAAGAUAACGUACAACAUUAGUACACCAACAUCUUGCACAAUAGGAACUGAUUCAGUACACACACAUGCACAUGAGACUAAAUUAAUUUACCAAAUCUGAGAACUUGAGCAUAAAAAAGAAAGAAUUAGGGAGGGGACAAGGGCAUCACUAACCCGCACUUAUGCUCGAUCUGCUCCAUGGCCAUGCCUUUGAAUUCUUAUCUGCAACACCCAGCGGCACCGCAGACACCAACACCGACAGCUUCAAUCUGGAGCAGAUGAAUCACAGCACAACAAGAACCUAACCUCCAAGUCAAAUCUGAGAGGGGAUUAGAGAUUAGGGAUUUGGGAUCAGGGGAGAGAGAGAGAGGUCCGGCAGUGGCGGAGCAGCAUGUUCCCAUCGCUGGCGGCGUGGCCGAUCUGUCUAGGUUAGGAGCAGAGGAAUAGGAGGGAGAGAAGACAUGUGCGUGUGUUCUGUUCUUUUUUUUUUUGAACUGGUGUGUUCUGUUCUUGGUGGACUAGUAUUGGUGUGUGUUGUGUUCGAUGGAGGACUAGUAGAGGAGAGAGAGAGACUUGGAAAUUGAGAAAGGGAGAGGGCACGUGGAGGUUUCUAGUAGUGGUAAUUACCCAGGUGCACAUCUAAUAAUUGUCUAUUCUAAAUCCACCUACUAAAGCAAUCUUAGUAAAAAAGGAAAAAUAGGUAAUAAAAGAAAUAAUUAUGUCCGACUGUAAGAUGACCACACUGCACCGACGUAUAAUUUUAUUUCCCUCGUGUUCACUCGACUUAGUCUCGAAAUAUAUAUUUGCCGAACUGCAGGAAGCGAGUACAGCCCGGAGAAGGAGGCGCUACAGAAGCAAAUUGAGUCCGGAUCUGAGUACAAAAACUCAGGCAAGCUCUCCUUGAUCAGGCUGAGUAGAACUUUUUCUGAAGAAAAAAACACUAUUCUCUACUAUGUUAUCAUCAACUUGCAUAAAAUGGUUUGGUAAUAAAUUGUGUGGAGUGACUGUUGACAUAUAGUUGGGUUAGCUGAUGGAGCAGCUAAUCCAUUGAUUUAUUUAUUUUAUAAUUAUUCAGUGGGUAGAGGGCGCCCUAGAUGGACAUACGGGAAGGUGGGGCCCUCUACAUAUGGCUAGUAUAUUAAGAUUAAAUAACUUUCACUCAUUUUAUGUGCCAUACUACAACCGUAUCAACCAUGGUCUCAUCUAUGACGAGUUGAGCCCAACACCAUCAAGUUAUUAUACUCUUGACAUGGGUAAGUAGUAGUAGGAUGGGCGAUGAGUUCCCACGCUAAUGCCGGAUGAGUGCAUUAGCAAGCGCUAUAUAUUCAGCGUUGGUGGAGUGCGGGUUCCGAAACCCGACACAACAGCUAGUGACCACUAGCCGGGUGGAGAUAUAAUAUACAUAAUGGAAACAAGUUUUAUGUUCUGAACCAUGUCUCGCAUCUAAGGAAAUGCAGAUGGCAAUUAUGGUUUCGAGCUCUAUGGGUAAAGUGAUACAAACUCUGCAGAGUUAAAGUAAAACAUGAAUUCAUGCCAGUCUCUUGGAUUGGGGACUACGGGGACCUAAUGGUGGUCUAUCUCGCAAUACGAGUGUUUGAUAGUUUUUUAUAAAUUGAAAUAAACUUUCUGCAAAAAAUAUUUAUUUAUUUUACAGGAGUUGAGUUGAGGUAGGACUUGUUGAUUUAUAUUGAGCUAUCAUGAGUGUGCAUUUUUCUAUUUGAGAUUGCUGAGUACUUUGUACUCACUCUUGCUAUUAAUCGUCUCUUUCCUGGUGCAAAGCUUGUAUGAUAAUCCUACUGGACCAAGUGAGGAGAGCAAUGGUGAUGGAUACAACUACACAGGGGACAUAGAUGUGGAUCCAUCCAGUGCCAUGUACGAUCUGGAUGCUACAUAUGGGGGCUGGGAUGAAUAAGUAACUAUGAUCUAGCUAUGUAAUCCAAGAACUAUUUUAUCACAAUCAAAUCUUGGACCGCUAGUUGGAACUCCAGUUUUAGGACAUGUAAUAAUUUGAUGAACAUGUGAGAAGCCUACUUGAGACUUCAGCCCUGUGUGGCAUGGUAUUGUAAUAUAGAUGACCAUCUCUAGCUAUUCCUUGUUGCAAAUCUCUGACAUGAAUUAUUAUUUGAAAACACAAGAUUUUGUCAAGAAAUAAUCCAAGGACUAGUGCAUUAUCUAUAUUAAUAAUGACACGGGUCGUCACAGGUGGUAUCAGAGCAAUGGUUUCGAGGGCCACACAGAUAGUGAGAGAUGGUUGGAAUAGUUUAGUUGGAACCCAUACUUGCUAUAAUGCACCACUAAUUAAUUCCAUAUCAUAUUAUUCUAUCCAGUAACUUUAGAUGACUACCAUGCUAAUUAGAAGCCUGUUGCAGGAUGGUUUGAGUUAGAAUUCCACCAUCAAGGGUUCAUGGCCAGCAUGUCCUACUACUUUGGAAAAUGAUGCAGGAGCUUGGGGCACCAUGUCCACAAUUCUUUGAAGAGAUGCCAGAUGAUGGAACACACUCCUACGGACGCGUAGUUGUGGUACUCAACGGUGUUCCAUCAGACAUGGACUUCUACGCGGAGCUCUCCACAAUGCAGCGGUCCUUCGAUGACACCCUACCAAUGCAAGAGGUUGCCAAGGAAGCUGUGCAUGGACUGCGAGCACGCUUUGGUGAGAAUUGCGCACCACCGGAUACCGUGACUUGCCAGCACUUGAUUCUGGAAGUUUUGGGCAAAACCAUCAGCAAGGACUAGAGUAGCAAGCCUGGGUGUCGGGUCUUCAUCAGCACAACCAACACCUGCCGCUUCAACAGUUAGCACCACUUCUAGUAUGACAAUGAUUGCUGAUGCGAUGAUGUAUCAUACAAUGAAGGAGGAGCUUAUUAGACAUCGGGAAGCAACCCAAUUCUGGUAUCAAUGCUAUCAGAUGAGCGGACAUGAUAGGAUUAUGCUUUAGGGAGCACUAAAUGCUAUGCCGGGAGGUCCUCUUAAUCCUAUAAUAGUACCAGGUGAUGUUCAAGAGGAAGAAGGGGAGGAUCCAGAUGAAGUAGAACUAGAGGAACCGGAAGAAGUUGAGGGAGUAGAGAACCCAGAUGAGCCACUAGUUCCACCCUAACCAGACGUACCACCUGCACCACCCCAGCCACUACCUGAACAUAUAGCUGAACCAGAACCAGCCCUACAGCCAGAUAUAGAGCAGCAGCUACACCACUUCCCUAUCCCACGACCACACCAACCUGACUUUAUCCACCCACACAUGAGUGUCAGCUCGAGGGAGUACAGGGAGACUGCUACCUAUGCAAGGGUACUUGGACUUGGCGCGAGUGGCAGCGGCAGAAGCAAUUGAAGUGGCAGCGGUAGCAACUAUGGUGGUGGCAGCGGCAUCGCCUAAUCAAGUUCCAAUCUGCCAGACUCUUAGGCAUGGGACCCCUUGGUCAUAGACUAGUCUUUUGGGAUCAGCAGUAGUUAGUGUAGUGGCAGCCUGAAUAUGUGUGUUUAUGUAAGAUAUGUGUGAACUGCAAUGACAGAGUAUGUCCCCUAUUGUAACACCCCGGAUGUAACUUUCCCAAUUUGUACUCCAACUCUUGUCGUUUCCGGCGUUAAGUUAUUUUAUUUUUCUCAGGUUCGGGUUUUUGUCUCUGUGUGUUGUUGUCGUUGUCAUGCAUCUCAUAUCAUGUCAUCAUGUGCAUUACAUUUGCAUACGUGUUUCAUCUCAUGCAUUCGAGCAUUUUCCCCGUUGUCCAUUUUGCAUUCCGGCGCUUCGUUCUCCUCCGGUGGUCAUUUCUAGCCUUUUUUCGUGUGUGGGGAUUAAACAUUUCCGGAUUGGACCGAGACUUACCAAGCGACCUUGUUUUAUUACCGAUAGACCGCCUGUCAAGUUUCGUAUCAUUUGGACUUCGUUUGAUACUCCAAUGGUUAAUCGAGGGACCGAAAAGGCCUCUUGUGUGUUGCAGCCCAACACCCCUCCAAUUUGGCCCAAAACCCACCAAAACCCUCUCCUUCAUCUAGAUCGUUCGAUCACGAUCGCGUGGCCGAAAACCGCACCUCAUUUGGACUCUCCUAGCUCCCUCUAUGCCUAUAUAAAGGCCUCUCCCCGAAAUCCGGAUCCCCCCUCGUUCUAAACCCUUGUCCCCUUCGUCUCCACGCACCGACGGACAAAUAUCGUCCGGCCGGACACGUCCGGAGUCGCCGCCGCCCGCCCGCGCCUAUCAGGCGUCGCCACGUGGCACAACAGCCGCCGCCGCCGCUGAGGCCCGUUCGGCCCAGGGCGGGCCCUCGCCGCCGCCAACCGGGCCGCCGCCUNNNNNNNNNNNNNNNNNNNNNNNNNNNNNNNNNNNNNNNNNNNNNNNNNNNNNNNNNNNNNNNNNNNNNNNNNNNNNNNNNNNNNNNNNNNNNNNNNNNNNNNNNNNNNNNNNNNNNNNNNNNNNNNNNNNNNNNNNNNNNNNNNNNNNNNNNNNNNNNNNNNNNNNNNNNNNNNNNNNNNNNNNNNNNNNNNNNNNNNNNNNNNNNNNNNNNNNNNNNNNNNNNNNNNNNNNNNNNNNNNNNNNNNNNNNNNNNNNNNNNNNNNNNNNNNNNNNNNNNNNNNNNNNNNNNNNNNNNNNNNNNNNNNNNNNNNNNNNNNNNNNNNNNNNNNNNNNNNNNNNNNNNNNNNNNNNNNNNNNNNNNNNNNNNNNNNNNNNNGCCCCGUCGUCCAAGCUGCCGCCGCCGCCAAGUCCGGCGAUCCGGCCGCCCUUCGCCAUCCUCCCCGCGAACUCCGGCGAGAUCCCGCCAAGUCCGACCGACCACCACGACGCCAUCGCCGGCGACCUCGACUCCGUCGUGAACAGUGCCCCGACCGUGCCUCGGAUUCCGUGCCAACCCUAGAUCUGAGAGAGGUUGUUUUUUUUCACUAAGUCCCCAGAAAUUCCAGAUCCAUGUGCUCUUGUUCUUAGCCUCGUAACUUUGCAUUCGUAGCUCCGAUUUGGGCAUAUAGCAUAUCAAAAUGUUCAUCUCAAAGAGUACAUCAUUUCAUUCCAUUGCAUCAUUUUCAUUUGAGUUCAUCUUGAUGGCAGAAAUGCUGUUAGAAGAGGGAUACUUGAGAUAAUUGUCAGAUCUGCUGCUCCAUUUAGCUUUUUGUCAUUUUUGCCAUGAUUAAUGUGUGCAUGAUAUGCCCUGAUGUUCUACAUAUGUUUUGUUAAGGGUUUUGUCAUCUUUCCAGAGGUGCAACCCAUGUAUUUUUGUGAUGUGUGUGGUGACUAGUACAAGCUUGCAAAGUGGUGCACUUGGUAAUUCUGAUUUCAGGGACUUAGCAUUUCCACUAAGUCCUUGAUCUGUUUAUCUCAUGUUGCCAUAUGAUCAUGUUGUUUCCUAGUGAUCCGUGCCUCUUUUGAGGAUGAUCAGUAAGGAUGUUUUAUUAAUCUUGUAGUGAUCUAUCCAUCCAUGUGUUUGUUUGCAAUUAUGGAGCACCCUAGCUUGAGUCAAUCGAGCUCUACUUUUGCUACUUUGUGAAUCUGGGCAGAUUGUCAACUUGUUUGCAAUUUUGCCGAUGAUGUUGUAGGUGAUCCGUGCAUGCUAUGUUAUUGUUCUUGCCAUGUCUAGCUUGAUUUUUGUGUAUUCUUGAUGGUUGUAUGCUUAGUUUGUCAUGACUUUCUCCGUAGUGAGUGCAUCGAGCUCGUAAACAUGCCUACUUGAGAUAUGUUUCAGCAUGUGCCAGUUUUCACUAAGUCUGAAAACUGAUUAUGUUUUUGCCAUGUUCACAUGCUUGCAAUUGUAUUUUCUAAUCCCUUUUGGCUCAAGGUCACUAAGGGACUUUUGUUAAGCUCUUUGAGUAGCUCCAUGCCAUGCUUUCUUUUGCCAUGUUCAGUUCCUGCAGCACAUAGUUUUGUUGCUUCGAAGAGUGCUACCUGAUGUGAAAUUCCAGACAAGUGUUAAUUUCUGUUUGCCAUAUGCAUUUUUGUCGUGCUUGUUUGAACCUGUUAAUGGAUGAAUUGGCCGUUGCUCAGUGCUAGACUUUUGUUAAGCAUCUUGUAUGCAUCCCUUCCAUGUAUUUUGUGGUCAUGUUUGGAAGCUGUAGCAUGUUCAUCUCAUUGCAUUUAGAUGGCUACUUGCUGUAAAUCGCAGACCGAUGUCAUUUUUGAAUCGCUUGCCAUUUCCAAACCGUAACUCCGAUUCCGGCGUUCUUUAUAUCGUUUUCAAGCGAUUUCAUCUCAUCUUUCCAGUGGUACACUUGGAUUUUAAAGUUGAGGCCAGGUUCAUGCAUUCAUUGUCACAUCUUGCAUAUGCAUCCCGCAUCACAUCCCGCAUAGCAUAUCAUCUUUGCAUCAUCUUGUUUGAUCCUUGCACGUGGUUGAUUUGUGUCCUUGUUGCUUGUUUGUCUUGUUUGGGUAGAGCCAGGAGACGAGUUUGUUAACGAGGAGCCCGUUGAGUUUGCUUUCGAGGAUCCAAUCAACUCUGACAACUGUGCAGGCAAGAUGAUCAUACCCUCGAAAUCACUACUAUCUUUGCUAUACUAGUUUGCUCGCUCUUUUGCUAUGACCAAUGCUACGAUGCCUACCACUUGCUUUCAAGCCUCCCAAAUUGCCAUGUCAAACCUCUAACCCACCAUGUCCAAGCAAACCAUUGAUUGGCUAUGUUACCGCUUUGCUCAGCCCCUCUUAUAGCGUUGCUAGUUGCAGGUGAAGAUUGGAGGUUGUUCCUUGUUGGAACAUUUAUUUACUUGUUGGGAUAUCAUUAUAUUACCAUGUUAUCUUAAUGCAUCUAUAUACUUGAUAAAGGGUGGAAGGCGCGGCCUCUCGCCUAGUGUUUUGUUACACUCUUGCCGCCCUAGUUUCCGUCAUAUCGGUGUUAUGGAUUUUGCGUUCCUCACGCGGUUGGGUUAUAAUGGGAACCCCUUGAUAGUUCGCCUUGAUUAAAGCUUUUCCAGCAAUGCCCAACCUUGGUUUUACCAUUUGCCACCUAGCCUUUUCUUUCCCUUGGGUUCUGCAGACUCAAGGGUCAUCAUUAUUUUAACCCCCCGGGCCAGUGCUCCUCUGAGUGUUGGUCCAAACUGUCAGCCGCCGGUGGCUACCAGGGGCAACUCUGGGCUGGCCUACCGGAAGUUUAGACAAUCUGAGUGUGCCCUAAGAAAGAGAUAUGUGCAGCUUCUAUCGGGAUUUGUCGGCACAUUCGGGCGGUGUUGCUGGUCUUGUUUUAACCUGUCGAAGUGUCUUGAAGAACCGAGAUACCGAGUCUGAUCGGAACAUCUUGGGAGAAGGUUUAUUCCUUCGUUGACCGUGAGAGCUUGUCAUGGGCUAAGUUGGGACUCCCCUGCAGGGAUUUGAACUUUCGAAAGCCGUGCCCGCGGUUAUGGGCAGAUGGAAAUUUGUUAAUGUCCGGUUGUAGAUAACUUGAACCUUAACUUAAUUAAAAUGAAUCAACUGAGUGUGUUACCGUGAUGGCCCCUUCUCGGCGGAAUCCGGGAAGUGGACAUGGUGUUGGAGUAAUGUUUGCGCAUGUUGCUCUCUAGUUUCUCGCUCGCGCUUUGCCUCCUCUUCCCGCUCUCUUUUGCGAAUAAGUUAGCCACCAUUUUUGCUAGUCGCUUGCUGCAGCUCCACAUAUACUUUUACCUUGCCUUACCUAUAAGCUUAAACACUACUAGAAAAACCGCUACUAAUGACGCACCUAAUUUGGCCAUUAAUGGCGCAUCACCGGUGCGCCAUUACUAGCACGCCAUUAGUAUAGGUCACGGUGCGCCAUUAGUAUGCCUCCCAGGGGCCAUGUAUACCCAGGUGCUUUGGAUACUAAUGGCGCACCACAACUGGAUGCGCCAUUAGUAACCGCGGCAUACUAAUGGCGCAAUGUCCUNNNNNNNNNNNNNNNNNNNNUAGGAGGGGGAUGCGGGGGACGCGGAUCUGCGGGCGAAGCAGCGGACAAUUCUCCACUACUAGAAAAACCGUUACUAAUGGCGCACCUAAUUUGGCCAUUAAUGGCGCAUCACCGGUGCGCCAUUACUAGCACGCCAUUAGUAAUUUUUACUAAUGGCGCACCAGUGGUGCGCCAUUAGUAUCUGGUAUACUAAUGGCGCACCACUGGUGCGCCAUUAGUAUGCCUCCCAGGGGCCAGGUGCUUUGGAUACUAAUGGCGCACCACAACUAGAUGCGCCAUUAGUAACCGCGGCAUACUAAUGGCGCAAUGUCCUGUGAUGCGCCAUUAGUGAUGCGCCAUUUUGAAUCUAGAUCUGGAUCGUGAUUUUUUGCCCAUUUUUUGCUCGUUUUUUUUGCUUGUUUUUUGGCACGACAAUAUUCUCAAAUUUUGUUCCUGUUUUUGGAUCUUGUUGCCAUGGUCUUUUGCCGGAGAGGAGUUCGCCGGAGAGGAGGGNNNNNNNNNNNNNNNNNNNNNNNNNNNNNNNNNNNNNNNNNNNNNNNNNNNNNNNNNNNNNNNNNNNNNNNNNUCCUGUGAUGCGCCAUUAGUGAUGCGCCAUUUUGAAUCUAGAUCUGGAUCGUGAUUUUUUGCCCAUUUUUUGCUCGUUUUUUUGCUUGUUUUUUGGCACGACAUUAUUUCAAAUUUUGUUCCUGUUUUUGGAUCUUGUUGCCAUGGUCUUUUGCCGGAGAGGAGUUCGCCGGAGAGGAGGAGGAGGAGGUCGCUGGAGAGGAGGAAGGAGAAACCAUGAGGUGAUGGGAGGAGCUCACCGGAGAGGAGGGAGGAGGAGCUCACCGGAGAGGAGGGAGGAGGAGCUCACCGGAGAGGAGGGAGGAGGAGCUCACUGGAGAGGAGGGAGGAGGAGCUCACCGGAGAGGAGGGAUUUUUCAUAUGGUGAUGGAUACAAGUGAGGAGAGCAAUGGUGAUGGAUACAACUACACAGGGGACAUAGAUGUGGAUCUAUCUAGUGCCAUGUACGAUCUGGAUGCUACAUAUGGGGGCUGGGAUGAAUAAGUAACUAUGAUCUAGCUAUGUAAUCCAAGAACUAUUUUAUCACAAUCAAAUCUUGGACCGCUAGUUGGAACUCCAGUGUUAGGAGAUGUAAUAAUUUGGUGAACAUGUGAGAAGCCUACUUGAGACUUUAGCCCUGCGUGGCAUGGUAUUGGAAUAUAAAUGACCAUCUCUAGCUAUUUCUUGUUGCAAAUCUCUGACAUGGAUUAUUAUUUGACAAGACAAGAUUUUGUCAAGAAAUAAUCCAAGGACUAGUGUCAUUAUCUAUGUUAAUAAUAACACGGGUCGUCACAAUCUAGUAGGCCAAACCAAACUGAUAAUUCAAAGAGACUUGCAAAGAUAUUUAAAUCACGCAUAAAAGAAUUCAGAGAAGAAUCAAAUAUUGUUCAUAGAUAAUCUUGAUCAUAAACCCAUAAUUUAUCAGAUCUCGACAAACACACCACAAAAAGAAUUAUAUCGAAUAGAUCUCCAAGAGAAUCAAGGAGAACUUUGUAUUGAGAUCCAAAGAGAGAGAAGAAGCCAUCUAGCUAAUAACUAUAGGCCCCAAGGUCUGUGGUAAACUACUCACACAUCAUCGGAGAGACUAUGGUGUUGAUGUAGAAGCCCUUCAUGAUCGAUUCCCAUUCCGGCGGAGCGCCGGAAAACGCCCCAAGAUGGGAUCUCAUGGGUACAGAAGGUUGCGGCGGUGGAAAUAGGGUUUCACGGUGCUCCUGGAUGUUUUCAGGGUAUAUGGGUAUAUAUAGGAGGAAGAAGUACGUCGGUGGAGCUGCGAGGGGCCCACUAGGAUGGGGGGUGCGCUAACCCCCCUGGGUGUGCCCUCUUGCCUCAUGGCCUCUUCGCUUCUUUCUUGACGUCCACUCCAAGUCUCCUGAAUCACGUUUGUUCCAAAAAUAACCCUCCCGAAGGUUUCAUUCUGUUUGGAUUCCGUUUGAUAUUCCUUUUCUGCGAAACACUGAAAUAGGAAAAAAGCAGCAAUUUGCACUGGGCCUUUAGUUAAUAGGUUAGUCCCAAAAAUAAUAUAAAAAGAUAUAUUAAAGCCCAUUAAACAUCCAAAACAGAUAAUAUAAUAGCAUGAAACAAUCAAAAAUUAUAGAUAUGUUGGAGACGUAUCAAUCAUCCGUAUCAUUGCUCCCAUGAUCUCGGAGUGAGACCGCGAGAGUGGUUAAUCUCCGGUAGAGCUCACGAGGUUCUUCAUCUUCAUUCAUUGCAAACUCAUCGGCUUCAUUUUGCACCACUUCACGAGGUUCUACCCGUAACUUUUCGAGUAGAUGAUUUUUCAUAUAAAAAACUUUUUCAUCCGAGUUAGUAUGCAAAAGUUAUGCCCAUUUUUACAAAUUCUCGUGAGAUUUUGCAAAUGAAGUCAAAAUUCAUUUUUGCAAAUUUUCCCAACAACUAGGCCACAUAUCACAUGGGAAACUUAUUUUUUUUAUUUUUUUGACAUUUUUAUCAUUUUCUUUUAUUUUUUUUAAACUGAAAAGGCGAUCCAUGGGGGGGGUGCAUUCGAUGGAAGUGGUGGCCAAGGUUACUAAUGGUGCACCGUGGCAUGGUGCGCCAUUACUAGUUUAACUAGUAAUGGCGCGCCACGCCGACGGUGCGCCAUUAGUAGUUUUGAAAAAAAUUCAAAAAAAAAGUUUUAAUUUUUUUUUACUAAUGGCGCACCGUGGGAGUGGUGCGCCAUUACUAGUUCAAACGCACCACUCCCACGGUGCGCCAUUAGUAGUUUUGAACAAAAUUUAAAAAAAAAAUUUACUAAUGGCGGACCGUGGAUGUGGUGCGCCAUUAGUGUUUUGGACACUAAUGACGCACCAACACAUGGUGCGCCAUUAGUAUAUAGUAAUGACGCACCAUAUGUCUGGUGCGCCAUUAGUGUCAAUUCCAUCUAUAGCCCUUUUCCUAGUAGUGAAAUAGUCUUGAUCACGAGGGUGCAAGAUUGCUGAGUCCCUGUGGCUCAUAGAUUACUAUUACACCAGAUGCAGGGCCCGAUGAUUCUGCUCCAGGAGACGCGUUUGAGCUUAAGUGGGAGUUCGACGAAGACUCUCAACGUUACUAUGUUUCCUUUCUUGAUGAUCAGUAGUGGUGUCUAGUUGGGGGUGAUCGGGACCGUGUCGCAUGUUGGGUUCUUUUUUAUUUUGGCGCCGUAGUCGGGUCAUGAGUGUUUGGAUGAUGUAAUGUUAUUUAUGUACUUGAUUGACGUGGCGAGUGUAAACCAACCAUGUUAUCUCCCCUUUAUUAUUUAUAUUACAUGGGAUGUUAUGAAGAUUGCCUAACUUGCGACAUACGCCUUCAAUGCGAUUAUGUCUCUAAGUCGUGCCUCGACACGUGGGAACUAUAGUCGCAUCGAGGGUGUUAUACCUAUGUACUAGUAGGAAUUGAACCAUAUGUAGUGUUUAGUGUAGUCAUAAUGUAGUUAUGCCCCUAAUUAAGACCUAUGUGAUGUACCGAUCUAACAUAAGUGUUUGCCCUGUAGUAUAUAACUUGCGUGCAUUAGGAGGCUCGUAGUACUUUACUAUUGUGUGCUUUAGUGAGUAAUCAGAGUGAUAUUAUUCUGGGUAGUAAGAGGCAUUUGCCACCAUGAUUGCACUUCAUGUUUGGUUACUACAAAUUUAAGGAUGGCAUGCUAUUUAUUGAUAUCACUUGCACUUGUGCUUGCUGAUUGAAUCAAUCUUUACCUAAUUAUAUAUAUUAUAUAUAUAAUAAUAAAGGGGCUAACGCUUCUUCCUCCUUAAUUUUCGUCCGUUUUUGUAUGUCAAAGGUUUUUUUCGGUCCGUCCUUCAAAGGUUCGUAUGUCGUUUAAUCGAUCUGUUCGUUCGGUUAAAACCAAAUCUGAUCGAAAGAAGCUACAUGGACCACACGCAACGAGGCCGAAUUAUUUCAGCCCGAGCUGGGCCAAAUUAUUCCGGCCCAUCCAGGCCGACCGACACAAAAAAUUGUUGCCCGGUGUGGCGAAUCGAACUUGCAACUUGAUGUGCGAAAUCUAAUAUUGCGGCCAAUUAAGCUAGCUCGUGUUGCAUGAUAAUAAAAAAUUGAUUCACCUAUAAAAUAGUCCCACCUCAUUUCCUUACAUUCAAUUUUCCUAAUUUAUAUACGUCUUCAUUUUUUCUAGGUAACAAGGAGCCAUCUCGAAAAUCAUUAAGGAAGGAAAUAAACCAUCCGUGGUAAGGAAGGAAAUAAAAAAGAAGGAAAGAAGGAUUGAAUAAAAGAAUGAAGAAGGAAAUAAGGAAGGUAAAGAGGAAAUAAAUAGGAGGAAAGAAUAAAGAUGGAAAGAAAGGCAUUGAAUGGAAGAAUAAAUAAUGAAAAAUGAAGGAAAUAAAAUAGAAGGAAAGAAUAAAAGAGGGAUUUUAGUUUGUGAUAGAGAACAAUAAUAAAGACGAGGAAAGAGGAGAAUUUUAACGUAGAAGCGCCAUGGCGCUCAAGUUUCUACUGCUAGAACGAAGUCGUGCGAACAGAAACAAAAGUAGGCAGCGAAUUGGAUCUUUUUAAUCAUAUUUUUUCUAUUUUUCUAUCAUAUUUAAAGUGGGGAAAAGAAAGGAGACGUGAACUCCUUUUUUAGCCGACUUGGAAUCCUAAACAUGUAGGAGUACAUGUCAAAGAGGAUGCAUCUUUUUUGUUAUUUUUUUUCAUCAAGUUAAAAAUUGGUUACAGAAGUAUAAAAAAAAUUGCUGCUCGCAAACAUUAAAACUUAAUGCAUGGCUGUUAAAGUAAAUAAUUAACACAUGCAUUUUCAUUAAUAAACAAAUAAAAAAAUGUACAUUGAAUGAAAAUAAAUAAAAUGUGAGUACGCACAAUUUUCCUAGAUCCAUAAUACGUAUACUUUCGUAUGCCCUAUGUUUGAGCAUGACUAUAGCUAGCUUGAGAAGAAAAGUUAGUGCAAGUCUCGAAACUCCAUUGUGUGGCAAUUGCUUCACUUUACUUUGUUUUAGUUCACAAAAGUUAAUGGGGUAAACUACCAUUUUAUUUUUAUAAGGACAAAAACAAUUAGUGCAUGUUAGGGUUAUAAAUGUGCAAAAAUAAUUGGUGGCUCACAAACAUUAAAACUUUUUUUUGCGGGGUCACAAACAUUAAAACUUAAUUCAUGGCCGGUUAAAUUAAUUAAUUAACAAAUGCAUUUUGAUUAAUACAAAAUCAAAAAUAUAGUGGAUUAAAAUAAAUAACAUGAUUUUUUUCCAGAGUAAGUAGAAAUAAUAUGAGUAACAAAACAUUAAUUUAAUUCAAGUAUAUAAUAGAUAAAUCCAAUCGGUUGCUCAUGUCAUGGUUUGAUUCUUUAUUGAGGAAAUUCAUUAUUUUUCUUCAUAAUCUCAAAGUAAUUUUUACCCCGCAAAAAAAAUCUCAGAGUGAUUUUGUUAGCUAGCCUAAACAUUAGUUACAUUAAAAGGUCGCAAAAUUUGAUUGUAUGUGCUAUUUAUUAUUAAUGAUAGGAAGUUUUGUUAAUAAGCACGUGCUACUCAUUUCUAGCAGCGUUUGUUUUGCUCUGUAGCAAAGUACAGAAGUAGUCUCGCGCACUACGACAACUGUCAGUCACGGUGGGAAGGGGGAUAGGCGGUGACACGGAAAGGCGUCUGUUGAGAAAAAUGACAUGGGCUUGUGGAGGUCUUGAGACUAUGCUUAUUGAGAUAGGGGCAUGCGAUAUGUUUUCUCCCGUUGCAACACACGGGCAUUUUUGCUAGUAAUCAUGCAAAGAAUAUAAGCAACUAACAAAAAAAUGCAGGAUGAAUAACAAUGGUUUGACCGAGCAAGACCUUGUCUUCCGUUUGGGAUCAAGCGCCCAUGAUCAGCAUGGGGGUAAUCCAGCUUCAGAAGAUCAAAGUGUUCUACCUGGACCGGUGCGACUUCCAAGCAAUCCAGAAGUGGGCAAUGCUGAAACUUCUGGACUUAUGGGUGGAGAAGGCAAUCUGGGAGAUGUCCUUAAGUUCAUGGAGAAUUCUCAAAGGGAGUCCCAAGAGAGCCAGAACCGCUUCCUCAAAGCAAUACUGACAAGACUAGUUCUUGGAGGAGCAAACAUACCCAGUGCAUGAGUUAGUUUAGGAGAGUUUCUGAAAACUCAGCAACCUACAUUCUCCAAGGCAGUGGAUCCACUAGAGGCAGAUGACUGGCUGUUAGAAGUAGAACAUAAUCUAGAAACUGUAGGGUGCUCAGAUGAAGAAAAGGUGAGAUAUGCAUUGCACCUGCUAACCGGACCAGCAACAGCUUGGUGGAGAAAUUUUUGUCUUAACCAAGCAAAUAAUCAGCCUAUCACUUGGGAGGAGUUCAAGGAGAAUUUCCGUCAGACCCAUAUUCCAAAGGGAAACAUGGAUAUCAAAACGAGGGAGUUUCGCAAUCUGACUCAAGGUAGUAAGAGGAUAAACGACUACCUGAACCAAUUUAAUGAUUUGACGAGGUAUGCUCUAGAUGAUGUGAACACUGAAGCCAAGAAAGUGGAGAAGUUUAUGGAGGGGUUGCAUCCAUUCCUGAAAAUGCACCUCUCGAUUCACGGGAUCACCAAGUUUCAAGACCUUGUCAAUAGGGCCUUCAUACUUGAGAAUGAGCAUUCCAACCUAAGUGAGGAGAGAAGGAAGAAAGCAAGGGUAGACCCACGCCCCAUGAUACAUCACCCACGUCUUAUGAUGCAUGGACCAGUGCGUCCUCAUAUGCCACCACCACGGCCUAGAUUCCCUACUCAGCCAACCUUUGUUCCUAAAUGUGGGAAGUGUGGAAAAGGUCACGCUACUCGUGAUUGUAUGACGGGUACAUGCGUUUGCUUCAAGAGUGGGAGGCCAGGACACCACAAGAUCAAUUGCACCUCUCCUCCCGCAAAUCCUACAACGCCACCUAUGCAGCAGACUCAAGUGCAUCGUCCACCAGCUGGGCAAGGACAAGGAGGACCUAUGAACUAUACAACAAGAGGAGCUGGGCGUGGAGGACAAAUAGGAGGACAACCUAGGCUGAAUUAUGUGGCUAUAGAGCAACUAGGAGAAGCUACAAAUGUUGUCAUCGGUAAACUACUCAUUCCUCCUUCAAUUGCUAUAGUUCUUUUUUUACACCGGUGCCACACACUUAUUUAUUUCCCAGUAACUCGUGAAUAAGAGCAUGCACACCGUUUGAGAAAGCUUUAGGAGUUAGCUCACCUGGAGGCAAGAUUGCAGUAGAGGCAAUGGGCAGAAAUCAACCAAUAAUAAUCCACAACACCAAAUUUUCAGCAAACCUGCAUGUCAUAGAGAUGCCAGGUUUAGAAAUAAUCCUUGGGAUGGUUUGGUUAGCUGCCAAUAUAGUGAAAGUAGAUUAUGAACUUAAAGGUGUAUAUAAAAGUAUUACCUAUAAAAGGGGUUCGACACUUUGGAAUCAAAGGGAAGCUAAGUCCUAGAUAUGUUGGGCCCUUUAAAAUUUUAGAGAAGGGGAAAUCUGCUUAUAAGUUGGAAUUACGACAACACCUAUCAAGGAUUCACAAUGUCUUCCACAUAUCUCAACCUAAGAAAUGCAACAAGCCACCACCACAAGUGUCAGACUUGGAGAUUGAUCUAAGACCUGACCUGACCUAUGAAGAGAGCCCAUUGAAGAUACUAGAAGUUGAAAACCGCAAGCUCACGACAAGAACCAUUCAGUUCAGCAAGGUAGAAUGGAGGAACCACUCCAUUCGUGAGGCGACGUGGGAGAGGAGGAAGACCUAUGAGUGACCUACUCAAACCUUUUCAUGUAGGUUUUGAUUUCGAGGACGAAAUCUUUUUCUAAGGAGGGUAGGAUGUAACGACCCGUAUUUUUUCACAUAGUAAUUCCACACUUAACUAGAUAAUUAAGUAGAAUAUAUUAAGAAAAUACAUCUCAGAUUUCUUCAACAAGAAUAACCACUAAAAUAUAUAUUUAUAUUCAUACACGUCAAACAGUACAACUGUACAAGUAUAUUACAAAUCUUUGGAAAAAGAAAAUGUAGGGAGACCAGACUAUGCUAAUCUAUACAACAAUACCAAACCAAACUUAGACCAACCCAAAAAUAUCUAUGGGUUAACCAGAAUAGCAGGACACAUUUGAGACAGACACUGACCACCACUCUCACGUGCACAAUAGAUUAAUAGUCAAUGGGUCAACAUUAUAGUCUAUGUAUGGGCUUCAACCUUCAGCUAAUUAGAAGCUAGCACCUAUGAGAACAAUGGAGAAGGGGAUAGGCAGCCAUACCAGCCAAGGAAGAUGGUUUUCUGAUAUUAAAAGAAGAGAGAGCAGAGCAAGCCAUUGCCAACACUUCACACAUCUCCAUUCUUCCCCAAAUAGCCAAACCAGCAGCUUGUCUUCCUCCCACUGUCUUCAUCUUUCUAUCUGCAACCAACAAAGGUCCAAGAAAAAUAAGUAGAGAUGGUGAGCUGAGAAAUCAUAGUAGAUCAAAGGAGGAAGGCUAGAGCAAGAAGUUAGCCUACUGGACUGGGAUCUGGAAGUAGGAGCAGCACUAGUAGGAACAACAGAGAAGGCAAAAGAAGAAAGGUGAGUUCUUCUUCUUCUGUCAUUCCUUUAGCAGUCACACUCACAAAGAAGCCCAACCCAGAUGCACCCACAAUAUUCCUCACUAGUUCUUCACAGAUGCACACAAAAGCUAAAUCUUUCCAAUAGUAUCAUCUAUCACAGAUCUUAAAACCAACAGUACAAGAAAGCAUGUAUAAUGCCUUAAUAAAGUAAAAUAAAAUGGAGCAAGAUAACGUACAACAUUAGUACACCAACAUCUUGCAUAAGAGGAACUGAUUCAGUACACACACAUGCACAUGAGACUAAAUUAAUUUACCAAAUCUGAGAACUUAAGCAUAAAAAAAAAGAAUCAGGGAGGGUACAAGGGCAUCACUAACCCGCACUUAUGCUUGAUCUGCUCCAUGGUCAUGCCUUUGAACUCUGAUCUGCAACACCCAGCGGCACCGCGGACACCAAUGCCGGCGGCUUCAAUCUGGAGCGGAUGAAUCACAACACAACAAGAACCUAACCUGCAAGUCAAAUUUGAGUGGGGAUUAGAGAUUAGGGAUUUGGAUCAGGGAAGAGAGGGAGAGAGGUCUGGUAGUGGCGGAGCAGCAUGUUCCCAUCUCUGGCGGCGUGGCCGAUCUGGCUAGGUUAGGAGCAGAUGAAUAGGAGGGAGAGAAGACAUGUGCGUGUGCCCUGUUCUUGGUGGACUAGUACUGGUGUGUGUUGUGUUCGGUGGAGGACUAGUACAGGAGAG
rnacentral:lncRNA from 1 species